UGUAAUUCCUAAUUUGACGAUUGAUCGUC
rnacentral:sRNA from 1 species